GACGAACGCUGGCGGCGUGCUUAACACAUGCAAGUCGAACGGAAAGGCCCUGCUUUUGUGGGGUGCUCGAGUGGCGAACGGGUGAGUAACACGUGAGUAACCUGCCCUUGACUUUGGGAUAACUUCAGGAAACUGGGGCUAAUACCGGAUAGGAGCUCCUGCUGCAUGGUGGGGGUUGGAAAGUUUCGGCGGUUGGGGAUGGAUUCGCGGCUUAUCAGCUUGUUGGUGGGGUAGUGGCUUACCAAGGCUUUGACGGGUAGCCGGCCUGAGAGGGUGACCGGCCACAUUGGGACUGAGAUACGGCCCAGACUCCUACGGGAGGCAGCAGUGGGGAAUAUUGCACAAUGGGCGGAAGCCUGAUGCAGCAGCGCCGCGUGCGGGAUGACGGCCUUCGGGUUGUAAACCGCUUUCGCCUGUGACGAAGCGUGAGUGACGGUAAUGGGUAAAGAAGCACCGGCUAACUACGUG
rnacentral:rRNA from 1 species